GGCGAAUUGGUGCAAUGGUAGCAUAUAAGACUCCUAGACCGUUCGCGGUGUAAGAGUGUAUCUUAGGGUUGCGGGUUCGAGUCCCGUGUUCGUCA
rnacentral:tRNA from 1 species